GUGUUCACUUUGGGGCCAUGUGAACUGAAAUUGGAACCAUACAGAGAAGAUUAAUAUGGAACUUUGCAAGGAUGACACACAAAUUCAAUUUGUAAAGCAUUCUGGU
ensembl:snRNA U6 U6 spliceosomal RNA